GGGGAUAGCUCAGUGGCAGAGAACGUGCUUAGCAUGCACAAAGUCCUGGGUUCAAUCCCCAGGACCUCCA
rnacentral:tRNA from 1 species